rnacentral:rRNA from 1 species
UUGCCAGCAGCCGCGGUAAUACGGAGGGUGCAAGCGUUAUCCGGAUUCACUGGGUUUAAAGGGUGCGUAGGUGGAUUGGUAAGUCCGUGGUGAAAUCCCCGAGCUUAACUCGGGAACUGCCGUGGAUACUAUCAAUCUUGAAUACUGUGGAGGUAAGCGGAAUAUGUCAUGUAGCGGUGAAAUGCUUAGAUAUGACAUAGAACACCGAUAGCGAAGGCAGCUUGCUACACAGUCAUUGACACUGAGGCACGAAAGCGUGGGGAGCAAACAGGAUUAGAAACCCUAGUAGUCC